rnacentral:lncRNA from 1 species
GUAAGGGCUCUCAGCCUCCUGCUGCUAAGCUCUCCUGGAUUUCGAGGGCUGUUCUGAAAUGCUGCUGGUUGCUGAGCAUGGGGCACCCUUUCCUGUCCUUUCCUUCACAGGGGUUGCAUGGCCAGGCCAUUGGCACAGUAAGAUUGCCAUUUGCUACCAGGCUGUGGGAAACCCUGCAGGACAGCUGGUUUUAUCUAUUUUAACAGGACAUUUCAUCAAUUGUUGGAACCUGGUAACCCUGCUUCCUGUUGCUACAGUCAGCUAAUAUAUUUUAAUUCAUUUAGAUCUAGAAAUGAAAAACCCAACUUGAUUUACACUGUUGUGACCUAGCUCUAGUUGAAGAAAUACAUAAUAAUGUAUUGGAUCUCUGUUGGAGCUGUCUCAGCCAUGGCCUGCAUAACUAGAGUGUAUCAAAAGCACCUCAGAAGAUGCAAGGCACUCCCCUUUCUGACUGGGUCCAUGCACAAGUCCUGAGCCAAACUUGGCAGAUUUCCAAUGACAAGAAUGACAAACACUGAUUGAACAUGGACUGGCCUUCCAGAAGCCUUUGCUGUGCUGUCACGAGGCUCCAGGAGGCAGCUGAGGGAGUUGAUGGCAGUUGGUAACAGCUACUUUGGACAACUUGUGCUGAGCAGCUUUUGUCCCUCCCAGCCUUAACCCUGACAGUAAAUCCCACCAUCCCCAAGCCAGCUUGUUGUUCUGGUGUCACCUGAAGCAAGACCACACUUCAUCCCUGGACAACUGGAAACUCAGCAUCUGCAUCCCAGCAGCUCUCAUAUGAUUCCAAACCUAUUUUCAGAUGUCAGUCUUUUACUCUUGCUUGGGAAAAAAAGUCUGAAUUGUUAGAGAGAGUGACCUGCAGUUCCCCCAGGCUUGGAUCGCUCCCAGAGGAAGCCUGAGGCCCUCGCCUGGCUGGACUGUGCUACCACACUGGGAAAGGGCUUUGUGUUUCCACACACCUCCUGCCCUUCCCGAGUACUGCACACCACCACGGGCUUCUGGAAAUAGGCUUCAGAUUAGCAGGUGGUGAGCAGGGAACAAGAUCAGCACUGGGUGAGUUAAUGUGAACACCUGCUUACCAGCCUGGCAUUAAAUUGUCCCAGGAUCUACCAACCCAUCUCUGCUAGCUCUG